UACGUAGGGGGCAAGCGUUGUCCGGAAUUAUUGGGCGUAAAGCGCGCGCAGGCGGUCAUUUAAGUCUGGUGUUUAAUCCCGAAGCUCAACUUCGGGUCGCAUCGGAAACUGGGUGACUUGAGUGCAGAAGAGGAGAGUGGAAUUCCACGUGUAGCGGUGAAAUGCGUAGAGAUGUGGAGGAACACCAGUGGCGAAGGCGACUCUCUGGGCUGUAACUGACGCUGAGGCGCGAAAGCGUGGGGAGCAAACAGG
rnacentral:misc_RNA from 1 species